AACCAGCACCUCAAGUGGUCAGGAUGAUUAUUGGGCCUAAAGCAUCCGUAGCCGGCUCUGUAAGUUUUCGGUUAAAUCUGUACGCUCAACGUACAGGCUGCCGGGAAUACUGCAGAGCUAGGGAGUGGGAGAGGUAGACGGUACUCGGUAGGAAGGGGUAAAAUCCUUUGAUCUAUUGAUGACCACCUGUGGCGAAGGCGGUCUACCAGAACACGUCCGACGGUGAGGGAUGGAAGCUGGGGGAGCAAACCGG
rnacentral:rRNA from 1 species